rnacentral:rRNA from 1 species
GAUGAACGCUGGCGGCGUGCCUAAUACAUGCAAGUCGAGCGAACGGACGAGAAGCUUGCUUCUCUGAUGUUAGCGGCGGACGGGUGAGUAACACGUGGAUAACCUACCUAUAAGACUGGGAUAACUUCGGGAAACCGUAGCUAAUACCGGAUAAUAUUUUGAACCGCAUGGUUCAAAAGUGAAAGACGGUCUUGCUGUCACUUAUAGAUGGAUCCGCGCUGCAUUAGCUAGUUGGUAAGGUAACGGCUUACCAAGGCAACGAUGCAUAGCCGACCUGAGAGAGUGAUAGGCCACACGGGAACUGAGACACGGUCCAGACGCCUACGGGAGGCAGCAGUAGGGAAUCUUCCGCAAUGGGCGAAAGCCUGACGGAGCAACGCCGCGUGAGUGAUGAAGGUCUUCGGAGCGUAAAACUCUGUUAUUAGGGAAGAACAUAUGUGUAAGUAACUGUGCACAUCUUGACGGUACCUAAUCAGAAAGCCACGGCUAACUACGUG